CAGCAUUAAGUUGUUAGAAUAAAAUAAACAAACAAGAAAAUGUGUACAGAAUCAACAAUUAAAGAGAAAAACGAGCAACAUAAUGACAUACAAUAACAACUUAUAUAAAUAACAUUUUCUCUCUAAGAACUAAUUUAAACACCCAAUUGUCACAUAUUGGCUGCUAAAAGAAGAGUGCAUCUUCGACAACAUCUAGAACCACAUAAUAACCUAUAUAUCCAUAUAUUCCUCUCUACCAUUUUCUAGCCAAAAAAGCAACCUUUGGCCUUAUCAAUUGCUUCUUUAUCAAUUUUUUCCAUACUUAGAAAUCAAGUAAGGUUGAAACCAUUGCAAUUUACUUUGUAUAAUUCAAACCCAAAAGUGUCUAAUUUCUAUGAAACACUCAUGUACUCAACAUUCUAAUUUGGAAGCGAUGCAAUUACGGAUUCUGAGACCGCUUUAAAUAUGACAGGCGCAAGAGAGUUGGAGUUGAGACGCAAACAAGAAGUAACCCUCCUUAUUUUUCUUGAUUUAUUCUCGGUUUGUUCAUUAUAUUAGGUUUUGUUCCCAUGUUGCUUUAUCAAAACUUUUUGUUUGUCGUACAUUUAAGAUUCUUGUACAAAUUUUACAGAAACACCAUAUUUGUUCAUAUCAUCGACAUCUCAACUUUGCAGGCGUAUCAAAGUAUUGUUUGAAAUUCUAUAGCAUACAAUCACAAAUUAGUUCAUU